GACGAACGCUGGCGGCAUGCUUAACACAUGCAAGUGGAGCGACGAACCUUUUUGGGGCAAAGCCGCGAACGGGUGAGUAACACGUGGGCAAUCUGCCCAGUAGACCGGAAUAACUCGAGGAAACCCGAGCUAAUACCGGAUGUGCUUGCACCUCACAAGAGGUGUCAGUAAAGGGAGCUUCGGCUAUCCGCUAUUGGAGGAGCCUGCGGAGCAUUAGGUAGUUGGUGGGGUAAAGGCCUACCAAGGCGACGAUCUGUAGCGGGUCUGAGAGGAUGGCCAGCCACACUGGAACUGAGACACGGUCCAGACUCCUACGGGAGGCAGCAGUGGGGAAUAUUGCACAAUGGGCGCAAGCCUGAUGCAGCCAUGCCGCGUGUAUGAAGAAGGCCUUCGGGUUGUAAAGUACUUUCAGCAGGGAGGAAGGUGUUGAGGUUAAUAACCUCAGCAAUUGACGUUACCCGCAGAAGAAGCACCGGCUAACUCCGUGCCAGCAGCCGCCGUAACAC
rnacentral:rRNA from 1 species